UCAUACUCCCAUUUUACCUGGUGAAUGCCCAACCUUGUCAGAUUUCAGAAGCUAAGCAGGGUUAGGCCUGGUUAGUCCUGGGAUGGGAGACUGCAUGGGGGGCUAUUGUGCAGACUGUGGU
rnacentral:rRNA from 1 species